rnacentral:misc_RNA from 1 species
CAACACUCAAGCUCUGCUUGGCGUUGGGGCACUACGACUUAGCCGUCGUAAGCCCUUAAAAUCAGUGGCGGGACCGCUGGGGACCCGGGCGAAGUAAUGACUACAGCGCCAAGGGAUACCUAGCCGGUCUCCUGCCGUAAAACGAUUAUUUAAAUCUCAG